CAGGAUGAACGCUAGCGGCAGGCUUAACACAUGCAAGUCGAGGGGCAUCGGGAGUAGCAAUACUUGCCGGCGACCGGCGCAAGGGUGCGUAACGCGUGAGCAACAUGCCCGUAUCAGGGGGAUAAUCCAUGGAAACGUGGUCUAAUACCCCAUGGUAAUUAUGUAAGGCAUCUUAUAUAAUUUAAAGCUUUGGUGGAUACGGAUUGGCUCGCGUGACAUUAGCUGGAUGGUAAGGUAACGGCUUACCAUGGCUACGAUGUCUAGGGGUUCUGAGAGGAAGGUCCCCCCACACUGGAACUGAGACACGGUCCAGACUCCUACGGGAGGCAGCAGUGAGGAAUAUUGGACAAUGGAUGGAAUCUGAUCCAGCCAUGCCGCGUGCAGGAAAGACGGCCCUAUGGGUUGUAAACUGCUUUUGUAUGGGAGCAAUAAGGGCUACGUGUAGUCCGAUGAGAGUACCAUACGAAUAAGCACCGGCUAACUCCGUGCCAGCAGCUGC
rnacentral:rRNA from 1 species